rnacentral:rRNA from 1 species
GACGAACGCUGGCGGCGUGCUUAACACAUGCAAGUCGAACGGAAAGGCCCUGCUUUUGUGGGGUGCUCGAGUGGCGAACGGGUGAGUAACACGUGAGUAACCUGCCCUUGACUUUGGGAUAACUUCAGGAAACUGGGGCUAAUACCGGAUAGGAGCUCCUGCUGCAUGGUGGGGGUUGGAAAGUUUCGGCGGUUGGGGAUGGACUCGCGGCUUAUCAGCUUGUUGGUGGGGUAGUGGCUUACCAAGGCUUUGACGGGUAGCCGGCCUGAGAGGGUGACCGGCCACAUUGGGACUGAGAUACGGCCCAGACUCCUACGGGAGGCAGCAGUGGGGAAUAUUGCACAAUGGGCGGAAGCCUGAUGCAGCAACGCCGCGUGCGGGAUGACGGCCUUCGGGUUGUAAACCGCUUUCGCCUGUGACGAAGCGUGAGUGACGGUAAUGGGUAAAGAAGCACCGGCUAACUACGUGCCAGCAGCCGCGGUGAUACGUAGGGUGCGAGCGUUGUCCGGAUUUAUUGGGCGUAAAGGGCUCGUAGGUGGUUGAUCGCGUCGGAAGUGUAAUCUUGGGGCUUAACCCUGAGCGUGCUUUCGAUACGGGUUGACUUGAGGAAGGUAGGGGAGAAUGGAAUUCCUGGUGGAGCGGUGGAAUGCGCAGAUAUCAGGAGGAACACCAGUGGCGAAGGCGGUUCUCUGGGCCUUUCCUGACGCUGAGGAGCGAAAGCGUGGGGAGCGAACAGGCUUAGAUACCCUGGUAGUCCACGCUGUAAACGGUGGGUACUAGGUGUGGGGUCCAUUCCACGGGUUCCGUGCCGUAGCUAACGCUUUAGGUACCCCGCCUGGGGAGUACGGCCGCAAGGCUAAAACUCAAAGGAAUUGACGGGGCCCCGCACAAGCGGCGGAGCAUGCGGAUUAAUUCGAUGCAACGCGUAGAACCUUACCUGGGUUUGACAUGGAUCGGGAGUGCUCAGAGAUGGGUGUGCCUCUUUUGGGGUCGGUUCACAGGUGGUGCAUGCCUGUCGUCAGCUCGUGUCGUGAGAUGUUGGGUUAAGUCCCGCAACGAGCGCAACCCUUGUUCACUGUUGCCAGCACGUUAUGGUGGGGACUCAGUGGAGACCGCCGGGGUCAACUCGGAGGAAGGUGGGGAUGACGUCAAGUCAUCAUGCCCCUCAUGUCCAGGGCUUCACGCAUGCUACAAUGGCUGGUACAGAGAGUGGCGAGCCUGUGAGGGUGAGCGAAUCUCGGAAAGCCGGUCUCAGUUCGGAUUGGGGUCUGCAACUCGACCUCAUGAAGUCGGAGUCGCUAGUAAUCGCAGAUCAGCAACGCUGCGGUGAAUACGUUCCCGGGGCU